rnacentral:rRNA from 1 species
GGUUAAGCGACUAAGCGUACACGGUGGAUGCCCUGGCAGUCAGAGGCGAUGAAGGACGUGCUAAUCUGCGAUAAGCGUCGGUAAGGUGAUAUGAACCGUUAUAACCGGCGAUUUCCGAAUGGGGAAACCCAGUGUGUUUCGACACACUAUCAUUAACUGAAUCCAUAGGUUAAUGAGGCGAACCGGGGGAACUGAAACAUCUAAGUACCCCGAGGAAAAGAAAUCAACCGAGAUUCCCCCAGUAGCGGCGAGCGAACGGGGAGCAGCCCAGAGCCUGAAUCAGUAUGUGUGUUAGUGGAAGCGUCUGGAAAGGCGCGCGAUACAGGGUGACAGCCCCGUACACAAAAAUGCACAUGCUGUGAGCUCGAUGAGUAGGGCGGGACACGUGGUAUCCUGUCUGAAUAUGGGGGGACCAUCCUCCAAGGCUAAAUACUCCUGACUGACCGAUAGUGAACCAGUACCGUGAGGGAAAGGCGAAAAGAACCCCGGCGAGGGGAGUGAAAAAGAACCUGAAACCGUGUACGUACAAGCAGUGGGAGCACGCUUAGGCGUGUGACUGCGUACCUUUUGUAUAAUGGGUCAGCGACUUAUAUUCUGUAGCAAGGUUAACCGAAUAGGGGAGCCGAAGGGAAACCGAGUCUUAACUGGGCGUUAAGUUGCAGGGUAUAGACCCGAAACCCGGUGAUCUAGCCAUGGGCAGGUUGAAGGUUGGGUAACACUAACUGGAGGACCGAACCGACUAAUGUUGAAAAAUUAGCGGAUGACUUGUGGCUGGGGGUGAAAGGCCAAUCAAACCGGGAGAUAGCUGGUUCUCCCCGAAAGCUAUUUAGGUAGCGCCUCGUGAACUCAUCUCCGGGGGUAGAGCACUGUUUCGGCAAGGGGGUCAUCCCGACUUACCAACCCGAUGCAAACUGCGAAUACCGGAGAAUGUUAUCACGGGAGACACACGGCGGGUGCUAACGUCCGUCGUGAAGAGGGAAACAACCCAGACCGCCAGCUAAGGUCCCAAAGUCAUGGUUAAGUGGGAAACGAUGUGGGAAGGCCCAGACAGCCAGGAUGUUGGCUUAGAAGCAGCCAUCAUUUAAAGAAAGCGUAAUAGCUCACUGGUCGAGUCGGCCUGCGCGGAAGAUGUAACGGGGCUAAACCAUGCACCGAAGCUGCGGCAGCGACACUAUGUGUUGUUGGGUAGGGGAGCGUUCUGUAAGCCUGUGAAGGUGUGCUGUGAGGCAUGCUGGAGGUAUCAGAAGUGCGAAUGCUGACAUAAGUAACGAUAAAGCGGGUGAAAAGCCCGCUCGCCGGAAGACCAAGGGUUCCUGUCCAACGUUAAUCGGGGCAGGGUGAGUCGACCCCUAAGGCGAGGCCGAAAGGCGUAGUCGAUGGGAAACAGGUUAAUAUUCCUGUACUUGGUGUUACUGCGAAGGGGGGACGGAGAAGGCUAUGUUGGCCGGGCGACGGUUGUCCCGGUUUAAGCGUGUAGGCUGGUUUUCCAGGCAAAUCCGGAAAAUCAAGGCUGAGGCGUGAUGACGAGGCACUACGGUGCUGAAGCAACAAAUGCCCUGCUUCCAGGAAAAGCCUCUAAGCAUCAGGUAACAUCAAAUCGUACCCCAAACCGACACAGGUGGUCAGGUAGAGAAUACCAAGGCGCUUGAGAGAACUCGGGUGAAGGAACUAGGCAAAAUGGUGCCGUAACUUCGGGAGAAGGCACGCUGAUAUGUAGGUGAAGUCCCUUGCGGAUGGAGCUGAAAUCAGUCGAAGAUACCAGCUGGCUGCAACUGUUUAUUAAAAACACAGCACUGUGCAAACACGAAAGUGGACGUAUACGGUGUGACGCCUGCCCGGUGCCGGAAGGUUAAUUGAUGGGGUCAGCGCAAGCGAAGCUCUUGAUCGAAGCCCCGGUAAACGGCGGCCGUAACUAUAACGGUCCUAAGGUAGCGAAAUUCCUUGUCGGGUAAGUUCCGACCUGCACGAAUGGCGUAAUGAUGGCCAGGCUGUCUCCACCCGAGACUCAGUGAAAUUGAACUCGCUGUGAAGAUGCAGUGUACCCGCGGCAAGACGGAAAGACCCCGUGAACCUUUACUAUAGCUUGACACUGAACAUUGAGCCUUGAUGUGUAGGAUAGGUGGGAGGCUUUGAAGUGUGGACGCCAGUCUGCAUGGAGCCGACCUUGAAAUACCACCCUUUAAUGUUUGAUGUUCUAACGUUGACCCGUAAUCCGGGUUGCGGACAGUGUCUGGUGGGUAGUUUGACUGGGGCGGUCUCCUCCUAAAGAGUAACGGAGGAGCACGAAGGUUGGCUAAUCCUGGUCGGACAUCAGGAGGUUAGUGCAAUGGCAUAAGCCAGCUUGACUGCGAGCGUGACGGCGCGAGCAGGUGCGAAAGCAGGUCAUAGUGAUCCGGUGGUUCUGAAUGGAAGGGCCAUCGCUCAACGGAUAAAAGGUACUCCGGGGAUAACAGGCUGAUACCGCCCAAGAGUUCAUAUCGACGGCGGUGUUUGGCACCUCGAUGUCGGCUCAUCACAUCCUGGGGCUGAAGUAGGUCCCAAGGGUAUGGCUGUUCGCCAUUUAAAGUGGUACGCGAGCUGGGUUUAGAACGUCGUGAGACAGUUCGGUCCCUAUCUGCCGUGGGCGCUGGAGAACUGAGGGGGGCUGCUCCUAGUACGAGAGGACCGGAGUGGACGCAUCACUGGUGUUCGGGUUGUCAUGCCAAUGGCACUGCCCGGUAGCUAAAUGCGGAAGAGAUAAGUGCUGAAAGCAUCUAAGCACGAAACUUGCCCCGAGAUGAGUUCUCCCUGACUCCUUGAGAGUCCUGAAGGAACGUUGAAGACGACGACGUUGAUAGGCCGGGUGUGUAAGCGCAGCGAUGCGUUGAGCUAACCGGUACUAAUGAACCGUGAGGCUUAACCUU